rnacentral:rRNA from 1 species
GACGAACGCUGGCGGCGUGCCUAAUACAUGCAAGUAGAACGCUGAAGAGAGGAGCUUGCUCUUCUUGGAUGAGUUGCGAACGGGUGAGUAACGCGUAGGUAACCUGCCUGGUAGCGGGGGAUAACUAUUGGAAACGAUAGCUAAUACCGCAUGAUAUUAAUUGACGCAUGAUAAUUAAUUGAAAGAUGCAAUUGCAUCACUACCAGAUGGACCUGCGUUGUAUUAGCUAGUUGGUGAGGUAACGGCUCACCAAGGCGACGAUACAUAGCCGACCUGAGAGGGUGAUCGGCCACACUGGGACUGAGACACGGCCCAGACUCCUACGGGAGGCAGCAGUAGGGAAUCUUCGGCAAUGGGGGGAACCCUGACCGAGCAACGCCGCGUGAGUGAAGAAGGUUUUCGGAUCGUAAAGCUCUGUUGUAAGAGAAGAGCGGGUGUGAGAGUGGAUUUUUCCCCACUGGAGGGGAUCUACCAGAA